rnacentral:rRNA from 1 species
UACGAAGGGUGCUAGCGUUGUUCGGAAUGACUGGGCGUAAAGGGCGCGUAGGCGGUUGAGUACGUUUGGUGUGAAAGUCCUGGGCUUAACCUGGGGACUGCAUUGAAUACGGCUUGACUUGAGGUAUAGAGGGGAAGGUGGAAUUGUGUGUGUAGAGGUGAAAUUCGUAGAUAUUCGGAAGAACACCCGUGGCGAAGGCGGCUCACUGGCCCGGAACUGACGCUGAGACGCGAAAGCGUGGGGAGCGAACAGG